AUUGAACGCUGGCGGCAGGCCUAACACAUGCAAGUCGAGCGGCAGCGGGAAAGUAGCUUGCUACUUUUGCCGGCGAGCGGCGGACGGGUGAGUAAUGCCUGGGAAAUUGCCCAGUCGAGGGGGAUAACAGUUGGAAACGACUGCUAAUACCGCAUACGCCCUACGGGGGAAAGCAGGGGACCUUCGGGCCUUGCGCGAUUGGAUAUGCCCAGGUGGGAUUAGCUAGUUGGUGAGGUAAUGGCUCACCAAGGCGACGAUCCCUAGCUGGUCUGGGAGGAUGAUCAGCCACACUGGAACUGAGACACGGUCCAGACUCCUACGGGAGGCAGCAGUGGGGAAUAUUGCACAAUGGGGGAAACCCUGAUGCAGCCAUGCCGCGUGUGUGAAGAAGGCCUUCGGGUUGUAAAGCACUUUCAGCGAGGAGGAAAGGUUGAUGCCUAAUACGUAUCAACUGUGACGUUACUCGCAGAAGAAGCACCGGCUAACUCCGUGCCAGCCGCCGCUGUAAAAC
rnacentral:rRNA from 1 species